ACUCCUACGGGAGGCAGCAGUGGGAAUAUUGCACAAUGGGAAACCGUAGCAUGCAGCCAUGCCGCGUGUGUGAAGAAGGCCUUCGGGUUGUAAAAGCACUUUCAGUCGUGAGGAAAGGGUUGUAGUUAAUACCUGCAAUCUGUGACGUUAGCGACAGAAGAAGCACCGGCUAACUCCGUGCCAGCAGCCGCGGUAAUACGUAGGUGGCAAGCGUUAUCCGGAAUUAUUGGGCGUAAAGCGCAUGUAGGCGGCUCUUUAAGUCUGAUGUGAAAGCCUGUGGCUCAACCACAGAAUUGCAUUGGAUACUGGAGAGCUAGAAUCUUGGAGAGGUAAGUGGAAUUUCAUGUGUAGCGGUGGAAUGCGUAGAUAUAUGAAGGAACACCAAUGGCGAAGGCAGCUUACUGGACAAGUAUUGACGCUGAGAUGCGAAAGUGUGGUAGCAACAGGAUUAGAUA
rnacentral:rRNA from 1 species